UUUAUGGGUUUGAUUUGAUUCAUAAUUUGUUGGGUUCUUGAAAUUCUUGAUUGAUGCCGAAUUAUAUUAUAUGAAAGCAAGGAAGAAGACGCUAAGAGGGAGGAGGUUUUUGUCAUAGCAAGCAGAUAUGAUGAUGGUGACCUUUGCUGGAGAUGGAGAUGGCGAUGGAGACUUUGACGGAGAGAGAGAUCAGAGUUGAGGUAUAAUGUCGAUGAUCUUGAGAGGGAGCUGAUAAUAAAAAAAAUCUUUACAAAGACAUCCUGGGCCUUCAAUUUCUCUAAUGAUGUUAUCCUUUGGAUCACUCAACUUUGUAUGCAAGACAUCAAGAUAUACA